rnacentral:rRNA from 1 species
GACGAACGCUGGCGGCGUGCUUAACACAUGCAAGUCGAACGGGAUUUAGUAAACAGAAGCCUCGGUGGAAGAUUACUAAUGAGAGUGGCGAACGGGUGAGUAACGCGUGAGCAACCUGCCUAUGACAGUGGGAUAGCCUCGGGAAACCGGGAUUAAUACCGCAUAAAAUCGUAGAAACACAUGUUUCAACGGUCAAAGAUUUAUCGGUCAUAGAUGGGCUCGCGUCUGAUUAGCUAGUUGGUGAGAUAACAGCCCACCAAGGCGACGAUCAGUAGCCGGUCUGAGAGGAUGAGCGGCCACAUUGGAACUGAGACACGGUCCAAACUCCUACGGGAGGCAGCAGUGGGGAAUAUUGCACAAUGGGGGAAACCCUGAUGCAGCGACGCCGCGUGAACGAAGAAGGUAUUCGUAUCGUAAAGUUCUGUCCUAUGGGAAGAUAAUGACGGUACCAUAGAAGAAAGCUCCGGCUAAAUACGUGCCAGCAGCCGCGGUAAUACGUAUGGAGCGAGCGUUGUCCGGAAUUAUUGGGCGUAAAGGGUACGCAGGCGGUUUAAUAAGUCGAAUGUUAAAGAUCGGGGCUCAACCCCGUAAAGCAUUGGAAACUGAUAAACUUGAGUAGUGGAGAGGAAAGUGGAAUUCCUAGUGUAGUGGUGAAAUACGUAGAUAUUAGGAGGAAUACCAGUAGCGAAGGCGACUUUCUGGACACAAACUGACGCUUAGGUACGAAAGCGUGGGGAGCAAACAGG